CUUUAUCAAACUGCCAGGAGCGGUAUAGCCUGCGACAAGAGACAGAGCAAAUGGGAAUUGGCUUACCUUCAAAUCGCUUUACAAAAUGAUCCACGAGCGUCCGUCAGUCAGUGGGGAAAGCUUUGGACAUCACAGCGACGGGGAUCAGCCAGAGAGAACAUGUUUCCAUGGAGUGUCAGGGUGCCACUGAAGAACUGUAUUUCAAGCAGAUCACCCAUUCGGACGAUAGCCGCGGCGGUUUAAACGGAAGUUUAAUCCAAAGAGAAAGAUGUGGAUCUUGUUUCUGUUCUCAGACGGAUGAAGAAGUGCCAAGCUCACUCAAUAAACAGACGUGCAUUUAGGACCUGAGCCCUAGGACCAUGCCCCAGGACUACCUGACAUGAUGACUCCUUGCUGUCCCCAGUCCACCUGGCCGUGCUGCUGCUCCAGUUUCAACUGUUCUGCCUUAUUAUUAUACGACCAUGCUGGUCAUUUAUGAACAUUUGAACAUCUUGUCCAUGUUCUGUUAUAAUCUCCACCCGGCACAGCCAGAAGAGGACUGGCCACCCCACAUAGCCUGGUUCCUCUCUAGGUUUCUUCCUAGGUUUUGGCCUUUCAAGGGAGUUUUUCCUAGCCACCGUGCUUCUACACCUGCAUUGCUUGCUGUUUGGGGUUUUAGGCUGGGUUUCUGUACAGCACUUUGAGAUAUCAGCUGAUCUAUGAAGGGCUAUAUAAAUCAAUUUGAUUUGAUUUACCUCAUACCUCCUAUACCUCCUAUACCUCCUACCUCCUAUCUCUUACCUCAUACCUCCUAUACCUCCUACCUCAUAUACCUCCUGACUCUUACUUCCUAUACCUCCCUCCUCCUACACCCACCUACCUCCUACCUCUGAUACCACCUAUACCUUCUACCUCCUACAUCCCCGAUAUCGCUUACCUCGUACACCUCCUAUAUCUCCUACCUCCUAUGCCUCCUACCUCCUAUGCCUCCUACCUUCUACCUCCUAUACCUUCUACGUCUUACCUUCUAUACCCCCUACCU
ensembl:lncRNA